CGGUCACUGAAUGCUGAGCUGAGCUGAGCAGAGCAGACACACUCAUACAGAGGGGCAUGUGUCAUUUGCUUCCCAAAAACCUGCUUUGUGUGUUGGUGGUCUUGGCCUUCUCUGGGUCAUCUAUAGCCCAAAAAGCAACUCAAGUACAACAAGCUAUAAACAAGCAGGAAGGGGAACAGGUCACUUUGGACUGUUCCUAUGAGACAAGUAAGAGUUUUUACCAGCUUUAUUGGUACAAACAAACUCCUAGUGGUGAAAUGAUCUUCCUUAUUCGUCAAGUUUCAUCUUCUCAUCACAAUGAAAGCAGCGGCCGCUACACUGUUGUCUUCCAGAAGACAGCCAGGCUCUUCAGCCUCAUCAUCUCAGCCUCACAGGUGGAAGAUUCAGUGAGCUAUUUCUGUGCUCUAGGGGAACCGGCUCACAGUGUUUGACGUGACAGCACAGACUUACCAAAUACAGGAGCUCCUUAAACACAGCCCCUCUGGGGGAGCCCUGCUGAGAACACACCUGCACACCCAGACAAGAAGGCCCCAACCACGGCUGCUUCGUAGGCGGUCAGCAUCAGAAGUAUACUUCUAAAUAAAAGACUCUUCUAUAAAAUUUGGAAACAGUUAUUAUGAGCAACUUUGCUUCUAAUAUAUUGUCUUGAAUUUUUAAAUAAGAAU